UCCGGCCACCAUACCGGGCGGGAAACACCCGUUCCCAUUCCGAACACGGAAGUUAAGCCGCCCAGGGCCGAUGGUACUAUACCCGCAAGGGUAUGGGAGAGUAGGUCGUGGCCGGGG
rnacentral:rRNA from 1 species